rnacentral:rRNA from 1 species
GACGAACGCUGGCGGCGUGCUUAACACAUGCAAGUCGAACGGAAAGGCCCUGCUUUUGUGGGGUGUCCGGUGGCGCACGGGUGCGUAACGCGUGGGAACCUGCCCUUAGGUUCGGAAUAACUCCCCGAAAGGGGUGCUAAUACCGGACAAUGUCUUUGUACCAAAGCUUUAUCGCCUUUGGAUGGGCCCUCGUUGGGUUAGUUAGUUGGUAGGGGAAAAGCCUACAAAGGCGACGAUCCAUAGCUGGUCAGAGAGGAUGAUCAGCCACACUGGGACUGAGACGCGGCCGGGACUCCUACGGGAGGGAGGAGUGGGGAAUAUUGGACAAUGGGCGAAGGCCUGAUCCAGCAAUGCCGCGUGAGUGAUGAAGGCCUUAGGGUUGUAAAGCUCUUUUACCCGGGAUGAUAAUGACGGUACCGGGAGAAUAAGCUCCGGCUAACUACGUG